GAUGAACGCUGGCGGCGUGCCUAAUACAUGCAAGUCGAGCGAACGGACGAGAAGCCUGCUUUUCUGAUGUUAGCGGCGGACGGGUGAGUAACACGUGGAUAACCUACCUAUAAGACUGGGAUAACUUCGGGAAACCGGAGCUAAUACCGGAUAAUAUUUUGAACCGCAUGGUUCAAAAGUGAAAGACGGUCUUGCUGUCACUUAUAGAUGGAUCCGCGCUGCAUUAGCUAGUUGGUAAGGUAACGGCUUACCAAGGCAACGAUGCAUAGCCGACCUGAGAGGGUGAUCGGCCACACUGGAACUGAGACACGGUCCAGACUCCUACGGGAGGCAGCAGUAGGGAAUCUUCCGCAAUGGGCGAAAGCCUGACAGAGCAACGCCGCGUGAGUGAUGAAGGUCUUCGGAUCGUAAAACUCUGUUAUUAGGGAAGAACAUAUGUGUAAGUAACUGUGCACAUCUUGACGGUACCUAAUCAGAAAGCCACGGCUAACUACGUG
rnacentral:rRNA from 1 species